rnacentral:rRNA from 1 species
GAUGAACGCUGGCGGCGUGCCUAAUACAUGCAAGUCGAGCGAACAGACGAUGAGCUUGCUCCUCGGACGUUAGCGGCGGACGGGUGAGUAACACGUGUAUAACCUACCUAUAAGACUGGUAUAACUUCGGGAAACCGGAGCUAAUACCAGAGAAUAUAUUGAACCGCGGGGGUCGAUAGUGAAAGACGGUGGUUGGGGCACGUAUAGAGGCAUCCGCGCCGCAUUGGCUGGUUGGGAAGGUAACGGGUUACCAAGGCAACUAGGCGUAGCCGACCUGUGGGGGUGAUCGCCGACACUGGAACUGAGACGCGGACAAGGCUACUACGGGAGGCAGCAGUAGGGAAUCUGAGGCAGUGGGCGAGAGCAUGACGGAGCAACGGCGCGUGAGUGAUGGAGGUGUUCGGAUCGUAAAACUCUGUUAUUAGGGAAGAACCACUGUGGCAGUAAAUAUGCACGUAUUGACGGUACCUAAUCAGAAAGCCACGGCUAACUACGUG